GGCGAGCUCUAUUGUUUCCAACCGUAUUUCAAAAUGGUGCCCUCCUCUAAAAUGAAACGUGAUUAAGCCCGUUUCAUAGCUAGUAUACUUUGAUUUGCCGCUGUUGUGUCAACACAUUAUUUCAAAUGUCAAAUGACAAGUAAUUUUAGACAUUUGUCACUACCCGACCUUUAACUAAAACGUAUAUCAUGUUAGGGGCGUGGUUUAGCUACGGGGGAUGUACGAAUAUUAAAUAAUAAGGCAGUGGGUAAUCUCGCUAACUCGUGUUUGCUCUGCCCCCCCCUCCUCGCUUGUUCUGCCCACUAUGACUAAUUUGUUCCCAUUGGAAACGACGGGCUGUGGUCUGUCUUGGGUUAGUUUAUAAAAAUCUUUGGUGUAGUCCUAAAACCCGGAAAUUAGUUACCUAUGGUUCGUUCAGCCACAUGUUCUAAACCCAGAAGGCCACACAUUGCGAGACUUCCGGGAACGCUUGCGAAGCAGACUCGGAAGACCAGACCAAGAUGCGAGUCAAUUCCUUAAGCAGCUGAACAUUUAUUACUCAAACCUCCGGAAAGUGUCAAGCUGACACGUUUUUAUUUUCGGCAAAACAUUUUUUUAAAUAGGAGUGCCUUUGAGUUGACAGGUUGCACAUGCGCAGUUCGUAGCGAGACGACCGUUAAACCAGAUUACGUGUUUUUUGCGCAUAAAUUUAGCAAGCUAACGUCGCCAGGACAUCGCCUACAAGCGUGAUCAGGAAUUUCUAUUGGAGAAGCAUUUCAACAUAUCUUCAUACUAAACCAUCUUUGGUUCAGCCUUCGUGUGGGAAAAAAUGAAUGGUGAAAAAAUAUAUAUAGGUCUGAGGGCAACACUGGUUUAGGAGAUCUUAUACGUUUUGUUCUAUGACAUAACAGCAGUCAGUUAACAUGAACUUUAUGAAUUAUGAAGUCUUUAUGUGAUUGAUGUGUUUUUUAUUAUUACAUAAAUUCUUCAAAAUUCACAAAAAGUUACGUUAUCUGAUGAAGAUUAUCUCAUAGAACAAAAUGUAUAAGAUCUCCUAAACCUGUGUUUACCACAGACCUUAUUUUCAGCAUUUAUCCAAAAACCUUACAAAAACGGCAUUCAUUUUCCUCAUAGGCUUCCUCCAAUGAACCAUGCCGUAGUUAGUGCCUACGAAAAGACACCAUUACUAUUUCUCUCUAUGAGGUCUGUGGUAAACACAGGCUUGGGAGAUAAUCUUCAAUCAGUCACUUUUUGUGGAUUUUGAAGAAUUUAUGUAAUUUAAAAAACACAUAUAGCACAAAAAGGCUUCAUAAUUCAUAAAGUUCUUGUUAACUGACUGCUAUUAUCUCAUAGAACAAAACGUAUAAAAUCUCCUAAACCAGUGUUACCCUCAGACCUUAUUUUUGGCCGUUUAUUCCAAAACCCUAUUCUUUUUCCAUUAAUCUUUCCUAUAGGGAUGGCUGAACGAACCUUAGGUAGCUCAUUUACGGGUUUUAGGACUUCAAGCUGGCGAGCUCUAUUGCAGCCAACUUUAAAGGCGAGUCGAGACUGACUGAUCUACAAAUCACCUGGCUUGCAUCCUAAAUAACUACUCAAUAUUAUUUGUAGAUCAGUCAGUCACAAUUUACCCAUGCUACAUCAUGGUCUUGACGCUCUUGAACACGGCCACUGUCAGUGGAGUAUGCAGAUGGCACUCUAGACCUUUUAAAUAUUUUCUUUUAUCGGGGACAUGUCAUCAAAAUAAUAAAUAUAUUAUAUUGUAACAGCAUGUGGAUAGCAGCUUCUGCCAUACUGUAAAAUUCCAUCAGCCACUGUAAAUAAUGUAUCUACAGUGUAAGUACCAUAAUCAGUUUGUCAUAAUACUCAUAAUACUCAUAAAACCUAACGGUCAAACUUGGAAAUGGUUCCAAUCCAUUUUCAACCAUUCAUUUUCCCCAUGGGGGAUUUUAGAAACAUUUCAAGUAAGGGCUAUGUUUCGUGUAGGCUUACCCUGAUGUGACGUUUUGAUAACUGUAAAUCUCUCUCAGACAAGGUGACUUUUAUCAGAGAGGAAGAGAGAGGCCCAACUCAGUGGAAAAUCUGUCUCUGCAGGUGGUUGUUUUUUCAUUGUUUUGCCCACCAAGUAAGGAGUUUUUGUAUGGAGGUCAAUAAAAGAGUGUCGAAUUAGCUCAACAACAAAAAUAAUGGUUAUUUUCUACGUGAGAUUUAUUUGAUCUAAUAAAAGUUUUGUAAUGCUUAAGUUGUUACGAGUGUACUGAUAUAGGUAGGACACGUGACAUCCCGGCAUCUUUGAGAAGAAAAAAAAACACUUUCUAUUGGAGUUGUCUCGAGAUGGCUAUGCAUAUUCAUGUCAUGAGGCUAGUGGCAUAGCAUUUCUCUCCAUUGAAUACUGGAGGUUGACGUCAACAACCCUCAUCGAAUAUUUAAAAAAAAACAUUACAAUAAUAAGAUGUAUACACCAAUCCAAAGAAAGGAUAGGCGGGACCUAGACAGCCCGCCAUGCCGCUUUGUGGACAACGACUCCCAUUGUUAGGACGGAGACACCUGUAUCUUGUCAGUAUAUCCAAAAUCUUGGAUUUUAUCAAUAUAUAAACCUGUAGUUAACUAACUAGCUAACUUAGAUGGUGAAGCUAGGUGUUCUGGAUAAUGUUUGUUUGUGUCUGUGUGUGAGGGAUGGGUAGCCUACUUCAAGUACUUAUUGACUUGCAGCUGCCCUAGCUGGCAGUAUUAUUUUGGUCUGGCUUUUUGUGAGGUUUCAGAGAUGGACUGAUUGAUUAUCAUCCUCUCUUGAGUCAACAGUGUGCUUACUUUACUACAGGAAUACAUUGAUCUGUUUGCUGUUACCCUCUGGACAGCAGAUCAUUAGUAUAGCUAGUAGGCAUGGUUAUGUAACCUUAUUUAGUCCUACCUGCUAUGGUGGGUUUUAAAUAAAUUGGUAUUCACACGUCUGUUUGAUUUUUGGUAAAAUUACUGUCAUGUUAUUGAUGCCAAAUUGCAAACCUUAUUUGAACCUUUUCUAUUCCAGAACCAAUGUGUGUGCCUGAGUCUUAUCACCUCUCAACUAGGUAAUCUGUUUAAACCUGGAACACUGUGCUUCUGCUUUGGUCUGUUUCGGUCAUUGCAGGAAGUCCUGAAGAGCAGGAGUGUGUGAACGGUUUUGUCCCAGCUCAGCUCUAACACCUGACUUAAAUAAUCAUCAUAACGAAUCACUGCGAUAGGCCUUGAUUUGUAAUCAGUUAUAAGCUGGGCUGGAACAAAAGUGUAUACUGUACACACUCCUGCUAUUCAUAUCUGGAGCCGUCCACCCCUUUAAGUCAUUAUUCUGUACUAUGGGUACAGCUGAACUUGUUGACUGAUACCAAGGCGGCGGAUGUUAAGAAGAAGGGAGUAGCUGCGGACCAGAAGACUGCAGCAAAGGCAGCACUGGUCCACACCUGCCCUGUCUGUCAGUAGAUGCAGACCCAAAGACAUUCAAGUAGCACUUUGAGAGAAAGCAUUCCAAGUCUCCAAUGGUCCCAGUACUGGUUGAUGUGCAGGUCUAAGUGACCACACACACUGAAAUGGACCUACAGCUGGGAGACACACGAUGACCACGAUUUGAAUGACAUUGAGGGACACGCUGAGACCCCGAGUAUGACUGGACAUUGGCCGGAUAUUUGUGACAAUGAUUUAAAAGGGGUGUAGAAGCACACCAGAACCCCAUUUUAUGUUUAUUCCAAAGCCAACCAUCCCUCUACCUACCCCUUAUUCCACACUGCCUUUUAUGCCCCAUGGUCCCUCAACUUCAGACACUUUGGAACUCUCCAUCUUAUCUCUAUAAACCCACCCUACCGUCACCCAUUUUCUCUAUGCUGCUUCCUUAAUUUUAUAUAUAUAUAUAUAUUUUUAUAUCCGAAACAUACAAUAUACUUGCAGUGAAGCCGCUCAACAACUACAUCAUACCAGUCAUCCAACAGACUC